GUGGUUCAUUAAUUACUUAUAUUCAUUAAUAGGUUUGAACAUACAUUGCUACCAGUAUCACAGAAGGUGCAGGUUUUCUGCCAUUUAUGAAUUGUUUGAAAGUAAAUGCACUGAUUACUCUGUAACAAGGCUCCUCAAUAGCUAUUAUAAAAAUAAUAAUAUCCAUGUAUGAGGUUUCUUAGUUCUGUUUCCAAGUGAAGUAUUUUAUAAAUACUUCAACAUCUAUGUUACAUUAAGUAUAUAUUUUUGUUGAAAAUUUUGUUUUAAAAAUUGGUAGCAUGCAAAGAUACCCUCAAGAGACUUUUUUUUCCCCUCUUUUGAGUGCAAAUCACCUUAGAUUUCUCCCAGAGAUUUUCUGUUGAUCUUUAAUGUUCUGGUUUUCCCAUUUGUUUCCUAAAAUGUAGACCAAGAAAAAUCAUCAUCAUUUAGAAAGUAUGGAAGAAUUACUGGAUUGUAGGUUCAUUGUGCACUGCAGCCAUGCUUGAUCAAUUCAUCAAAAUACCCCCUUUCCACAUUCCAAAUUUUGGAAUAGUACUGAUGGCCAAGAAGCACUUCUCUCUAAUUGACUAAAGGAAAAAAAUAUCCUCACCUAUAGAAGACAGGUGCUGAUGGCUUCCCUCAUCACAUGUCUACAGAUUCUUCAUGGAAAAAUCCAGCAAAGCCCACUCCUCCUGGAUGAAGUUCACAGCCACAUCUUCAAAGACCACCAAGCCGUGACAUAUCCCAGAUGUGUAGAGGACAGGUGAAAGGCGGGAUUGGGAACCCCACAGACCACAGCUCCUCCCAGGAGAACCCCACACAUGAGUCUGGAUUCUCGCCGUGAUCCUCCCGUGGCCCCCACACAAUCUGGGGAGACGCGGGGCUGCGGGCACUGCCAGCGCUGUGCUGCCGAGAGGGCUCCGGACCCGGGCUGCUGUUGCCGCGCAGGGAUGGGACAGGAUGCCCGGGGUCCCAGCUGCUGGCCUAGCCCCACCCGGUAGCCGAGGGGACCCAGGGCCGAGCUGCGCCAGGGAGACUCGGGUCCGCAGACCCCGGAAUCACUGCUAAGAGGCCCGGGUCCCACCACAGCAGGUCCCAACCAGCCCCUCCUCCCGCCCAGCCUUGCACACUCACCAUUUCCCGGCUCCCAGGUGUCCCGGGUCCUCCCUUGGCUCCGGGGAUCAGUGCUGGUCACCACCGGACAGAAGCUGUGGUGGAGCCACCUCAGCCUCUGGAACGCUGAUUUCAGUGGGUUAGGGGAACAAGAGCCCCUUAGACUCACGGAGCUUGGCCCCACCCUCCUGGCAGAGCGCCUGAUUGGAUGAUUUACACAACCCCGCCCAGCACCCCUAGGAUAGGGAUCAAGCCCCACUCCCUAGGCCCGGGUUUCAGGAGAAGCCACGGAAAGCAUGGAAGUGUGGAGCUGGACUGACAGGUUCUAGCAGCAGCCCUCCCACCCCCGAGGCCAGGCUUCCUUCUGGAGCUUGGACGUGACCCCACACUGGGGACAUUUGCAUUUAAGAAAAACUUGCUCCAGGCUUUC